AAAUGACUUCCACAGGAUUGCACCACAAAAGGAAGGAGUGUGUCAGAUGUGCAUUCAGCCAGUGUUGUAGCCAACACAAGGUCAAACGGGACAUUGUGUACGCAGCUAACCAACUGACAGUCGGGACAGUCCAGGAUGCCGUUACACCCCAAGGCACUGUCUUGCUAAAUGAACUAGUGCACACACAGACAGGUGCACACACACACAGACACACACACACACGGGUGAUCAUACAGGAGCCGUCUGUCUGUAAAAUUUCCAUUAUUUGUCAAAGACAUGAGCGGACGAUAACAGAUAAAAUAAUAGGUCGUGUAAAUCAAGGUGGAGUGUGUAUUUUAGAAAACAUGAGCCACUGAGUGACAUAAAAACAACUCCAGUGUGCUGCCCCCUGUCUGUCUUUUCUUUUCUUUUUUUGUGCAAGUAAAUAGGACAUUCUGGUAGAAGUGUGCACCAAUGCACAUUACCAGUCGGGGGCAGUAAUGAUACACAAAAGCUGCAGAGCUUCAAUUAAUACUGAUUAAUGAAGAAUGCAGGAGGGAGAGAACAUGAAAUCUUCAACCUCUGCUGAAGAAAAAUAUUAUGGAAUGGGGAAAAAAAUUGUGUUUUUCAGCAUCAUGUGUACGGUUUUAAAUUCUGUUUUAAUAUUAAAGAACAAAAGACAAGUUUAAACAGGUCUAACACUGUGGUUAUUUCUUCAUUUAUUACUGUUCUGUACUACAGGGGUUUGUUAUAGAGAAUAUUUCCAUAAAGUAUAUGUUUUAAAUAGUUAUGCUAAAGUAUAAACUUAUUUAUUACUAAAUUCUUCAAACAUUAUCCGAGCAUAGCACCAAUUCUACGAGAUCAACUGCUCCCUCUUGUGGCCAGGACAUGAAGAGUCAUGGUAAGUUAGUGUUACGUGUGUUGGGCAGCGACUUCCUGUCAAACCACUGUCCUACUGUUGUAUGACUGAACCAAUAAAAUGAUCUAAAACCAAAUCUUUCUCAAAUGUCUGUCAAUUAUUCAUCCUUACCACCCAAUCUCCCGCAGGACGCCCGUGGAAAUUCCGGCCAAUCAGAGGAGUUCUCACCUCCACACUUCACCAGUUCUUCAAAGAACAUCCAGGACCAACAACCAGCGGUCAAUUUAGAUUGAACUAUUGAGUCGAAAACACCAAUCUGAAUGUUUUUGGCCUAAAGAAGAGAACACGGAAACUCCACAUAGCGUAGAAAGAUCGGGAAUCGAACCAGUGACCAAUAAAAACUUGACUUGAUUCAGUCAAACUCCUCCUUCAGCUCCUUUCUCCUCCUGUGUGUUGAAUAAAUCUGAUGCAGUGAUUCCCAUAAAUCAUGUGAUCUUUUUUAUUGUCACUGUACAUUCAGUGCACUGUUAGUUCUGACUCACUUCAAAAAAAAGCAUCUAUUUACACGUGGGUGGUACAGUAGGCAUGAACACAACAAACAAAACACAAACAGGUCAAUGGCACACAACACUGUCCAGUGAAACCAGCUGUGGUCGGCUGUUUUUUCUUUUCUUUUCACCCCCCAGCCGCCCCCCCACCCCUUCUCUUCUCAGUACAUUUUUCACAUUUUUCCCUCUUGCAUCCUCUGAGCGUGUGCACACGUGUUACCCUGUUAUUUUCUGAGCGGAGGCCGAGUUCAUAAUUAAAAUGAACCAAAGCGUCCAUUUAACUUGAUUCACAUAUCACAAUUGCAAAACAUAAUAAUGCUUUGGUAGGGAGUGAAACCUCCUGGGUAAUCACACGUCUGUGUCCCACACACACACACACACACACACACACACACAUCUCACAGGGUCCGUUAUCCACGGUGGACCGUGGUGGCCAGGGAGGUUCCUCCAUGUUUUAUGUAAAUCUGCUCAUCGCAGAGUGCGCGCUGAUAAGAUAAGUCCACAAAAGGAAGAGCGAACAAGCAGCUCUCUCUCCUCCGAGGAAUGUGUUCCCCAAUUGCAGGAGGUUCAUCUACAUUUUUUUAAUACCCAGUCAGUGAUGUCACUUUAUUUCUGUGCCACUGAUUCCCAGGAGAAACCCAUGGCCCGCUUCCAAACCCAGCGUAAUUUUCAAAAUAUGAAUUGAGGUAUAGGGUCUAGAUGACUUCACUUAGCUCCAUAUGUCCUGCUGUGCCAACGCUAGUCUGCGUGUGUGUGUGUGUGUGAGAGAGAGAGAGAGAGAGAGCACUGAGGGACAGAAAGACACAGAAAACAAGUGUUAGAAAAGGAAAAUAUCCCACCGUAGACAAAUAUAUCAGACUCAGUCCCACAUGAGUAAUCAUCAACCUUUGACACGAUACAGUGGUGUGAAUAUUUUACAGCUCUUCAGGCGGGCUCAAAAUAGCUACAUCAUGAAAAAUGUUUCGUUUUCGUGGCAUGUGAAACAAAUGCUGGUUGCUACAUCCACGCACAGCAGCACGGCUACAGUAAAGGGAAACAUGCACAAUACACUUAAGCCCCUGUACAGCUCUAUACGUCAUGGUCGUGUAAAAACUGGUGUCCGACUGCAGCGCCACAACCAAAACAACGAACUGUAGUUGGCGACAUUUGCCUUGCAUAGCCCAGUGAUCGCUCCGUUAGGAAAGGGUUUUUUUUUUUUUUCCAGACCUCAGUGAAACUGCCUUUCGUACAGAGGUUCAAACGGACCCUCCCCACCGACGGAAAUGAAACGUCUCUCGUCCCCAAGGUAAAACCAAAGCAGAAAUUUAAUUGCUCUUUUUCUAUUGAGAAUUUCAGCUUAGGAGACAAUUAGAAUUAAUUGGAUGUCGUCACACCGUUUUAGAACUCUACAUACACAGUGUUAGGCAUUUCCCCUUUUAUUUUCCUGUAAUAAUUGGGUUGAUGGUUUAACCCCCUCCCCACCCUCACUACCAUCAUAUUAGAGCCUUAACUAGUGUAGUAUAAAGAAGGAAAUAUAUUACUAUUACUUCAUGUGUCAUAAGGAGUAUACUCUGUUCAUCAGCUGGGAGUUUUCUCUUGCUGAAUUUUCAGUUAUUUCUUCAUUUUAAUUUAAAAAAUAAAACUUGCACAAUUAUUAGUUGGCUAGCCAUAUCGUCAACACGGGAGGUUAUUGCUAGUCCACUGCUAGUUUAGCCUGUACCAGCAAUCUCCACUCAUUUGGCAGGACGACACACUCUAUAAUAGCAUCAUCUGCAGGUGAGGACAGGAGCUACAUGAUCUGUAGAAAAUACCAAAAUAGACACUGCACAUUAUGUGUUGAAAUUGCAAAACAAAGCCGUACGUGUGUGAAUGCAAAUCAGUCAGGGGAUAAUGUACACUUUUUACUGUGACAUGAUGAAAACAAACAGUGGUCGACAGUGAUGGUAUUAGAACACUGAGGUGGGCUGGGCAGAAUGACUCUACGUCAACUCAGCUGACGACCCUGGGCUUUGGCUUGGUUUCCACAAGUGUCAGAUUUAAACCUAGAAAUGGACAAACUAGUGGUAUGUUUGAGAAAGUGCAUCAUGGGAAUCCUAUUCUCCACUGUGUUGGGUUAUAAUUAUCUAUGCAUUACAUUACAGUGAAUCAAUAACGUCGUCCCUGUGGGGAUUGUCCGUAGGUUAGCGGUCGCUCAGCCUUCUCUCGGCUUCUCAUUUGGGCAGGAGCUAAUGGCACUUGACACUUUAAAGAUGCGACGGCUUUAAAGUGUUCAUAAAGGACAAUAUCUGUCUCACUAAAAUCCUAAGAGAAGUUGAUGAAUCGAAGGCUGUAUGAUCCUCACAACGCUUUACACGCAACUGGCCAAGGUUGAGAGGACAGGACAGAGAAAUAUGUCGUGUCACGUCAGACUAAUAAUUUGGCAUCUGGUUGUUGAUGGGCGGACGCACUCAAAGUCUAAAAAGGUUAAAGUGUGCACCUACAUUUUCAUACACUAGUGUUUGUUUGUAAAAUUACAGUAAAAUUAUGAAACCCCUCCUUAAGAGAUCUCUAUUUUGGUUGAUAAUAUUCAAGUAGGGCUAAGUAGCUGCUAACAAUUUAAGGUAGACUGUGAAAGUGCUUCCUUAAAUGAAAGUGUAAAACCAUCCAGUGUAUGGUGGUGUUUUCUGCAGCCCCCACCAUGUGUCUUUGUCAAUGGUUAGAAAAAAAAAGGCAGCAAUGCAAUACAAAGAAUGCAGAGCUGGAAAGUGAAGUGAGGAGCUGCAGUGCGGCCUGGAUCACCGCUCAGGGAUCGGCUUCGCUUUUGCAAGUCGUAAAUCUGGAAAUGAAACUUUUAUUUUUAUGUUGCAGGAUGCAGGUUAUUUGAGGCGAGAAUGUUGUACAUUUUUUCUGGUUUUGUUUCUCGUGUUAAAAUAGGGCACAAUUAUUUUUUCUACAGACCUGAAUACUCACCAUAAGAUCACAGGGAGCUAAAACCCUGGUUAGGGUUUUUUUUUAAUUGUACUAAUGUUAAUCAUUGCAUGGAUCAGGAAACUCCAACUGUGAGCAUACUUGACCCCAGAACCAAUAAUCAAUGACCAGACAACGGUGCAGCCUGAGCCAUGAGUGGGAUCCAGGUUUGAUAUAAACGCAUGGGAAUGUGAAUUCUUCCUGUUCGUCUGUGGAGAAUCAGAGGUCCAGUUUCAAUGAGACUAUAACACAAUAUUAUUGCUUUCUGUGUUGUGGAGAACACGGAGCCAGUUCAAACCCACAGGUACAAACAGAGGCUGACAUCUUCAGCAGUGGAACUAAUGUGAUCGAUACAGUGACACUUGACUGAGCGCACAACUUAAAUGAAAGUGGUUUAAAAAAAAAAAAGCAAAGCCGCUACAGUAUAUAGCAUACAGGACCAUGAAAC